rnacentral:tRNA from 13 species
UCCUCAAUAGCUCAGUUGGUAGAGCAACGGACUGUUAAUCCGUUUGUCCUUGGUUCAAGUCCAAGUUGAGGAGCCA